rnacentral:rRNA from 1 species
GCGUAAGCGCGCGUAGGUGGCUUGAUAAGCCGGUUGUGAAAGCCCCGGGCUCAACCUGGGAACGGCAUCCGGAACUGUCAAGCUAGAGUGCAGGAGAGGAAGGUAGAAUUCCCGGUGUAGCGGUGAAAUGCGUAGAGAUCGGGAGGAAUACCAGUGGCGAAGGCGGCCUUCUGGACUGACACUGACACUGAGGUGCGAAAGCGUGGGUAGCAAACAGGAUUAGAUACCCUGGUAGUCCACGCCGUAAACGAAUGUCGACCAGCCGUUGGGUGCCUAGCGCACUUUGUGGCGAAGUUAACGCGAUAAGUCGACCGCCUGGGGAGUACGGCCGCAAGGUUAAAACUCAAAUGAAUUGACGGGGGCCCGCACAAGCGGUGGAGCAUGUGGUUUAAUUCGAUGCAACGCGAAGAACCUUACCUACUCUUGACAUCCUGCGAACUUGUGAGAGAUCACUUGGUGCCUUCGGGAACGCAGAGACAGGUGCUGCAUGGCUGUCGUCAGCUCGUGUUGUGAAAUGUUGGGUUAAGUCCCGUAACGAGCGCAACCCUUGUCCUUAUUUGCCAGCGCGUAAUGGCGGGAACUCUAAAGGAGACUGCCGGUGACAAACCGGAGGAAGGUGGGGACGACGUCAAGUCAUCAUGGCCCUUACGAGUAGGG